AUUUCCAAUGUCAAUGAAAGUUGUUGUAACUGUUGAAUUUUACAGCUGGCCCAACUUUAAUUUGUCUUUGUCAAAUGUUAUUAUGUAUGUAUAGGCAUGUUAUGCUACAUCAUGAGUUGGCCUUACAGGCUCCAUCUUGUGUAACGUGAGUUAUUAUUGCAAAGGCAACUAAAGAAUUCAUGUUAGUUGGUUACGAGCCGCACCAAACUCCACCUCAUCCACGUUUUUUCUUCUAUAGACCUUUGACCCUCCAUUUUUAUCUACGACUCAACCUACAUAUUUAAAGAGGUUAUAUAUAAAAGAGAAAUUACCUAGAAUGACUCAAAUCAUACACGUAAUUACUAGACUAACUCAUAAACUUUUGUAAUUAUUAGACUAAAGCACAGAGCAACCGAAAAUGCCAAAAAAUCAGUCUCUCUUUCAUUUUUCACGAGAUUGCCAUAGGAAAUUAUUAGUAGGAAAAUGUUUAUUUUUUUUAUAAAGAAAAACAAAACCUUUUGAUCGAGACUGGAGAAAGUCGUCUUCUUCGUUUGCGACAACACCAAAUCGGACACCUCUCUUUCACUUCCGCCUCCGACAACUUCUUCUCUGCCAGAGCCUCCUUCCAUUUCGUCACCUCCACCUGAAUCGCCGUCGUCUCUGUAAGACAAGAGGAACCCUGAAUCCGAUUUCACCUCUGUCUCCGCCUUUAAAUCGAAGAGACAAAACAAUUGCUCGUUUUCAACCAAGAGUGAUUUCAAGGGAUGGAGACCAUUCAUGAGCGUUGUGGCCAGUUUACCUACAAACCCGUUCUUCUAAAUUGACCAGGAGAGGCUAGUCUUAUCUUUAUCAAUUUAUACAAUUAUACCUUGCAUCAAGCUCUGUACACUAUGCGGAUAUUCACUUACUCUGCAUUCAUAUGUGCCUCUUUCUGGUCGGGCAAGUGCUUGGAUUUUCAACAGAGUGGUCUCAUCAUCCUCUGUAUUCUCCUGGAGGAUUAGAGGUUCUGGAUGGUGUGGAGAAAGUAUUGGUUGGUACUUGAGUCGGGAUGGAUCACGCAUUACCUCAACAUGUCAAUGCCUUAUGGAGAUUUUCCAUUGCAGACACUCCAGGGAUAAGUUCUCCUAAGAACAAUCUUAGGCCUCUCUGAGUUCAACCCAAUACUCUUUAACUUUGCUUCUUGUUCUCUGUAAAUAGACAUCUACAUGUUUGUACUCUUUAGUGUCUGUAUAGUGUUUAUUUAGAAGUGGAAAUACCGUUAAGGUAUUGGGUGGAAAGUGGAAGUCGGUUAUUAAAUACUUCGUCGGUUAUUAAAUACUUCGUCGGUUAUUAAAUUCUCGACAAAUUGUAAACAUGAGACAAAUUGAUAAAGAACAAAUUUCUCAACCGUUUGAUUGAGUUGUUCAUGAACAAUGCUAUUA